rnacentral:rRNA from 1 species
CGGACGGGUGAGGAAUACAUCGGAAUCUACACUGUCGUGGGGGAUAACGUAGGGAAACUUACGCUAAUACCGCAUACGACCUACGGGUGAAAGCAGGGGAUCUUCGGACCUUGCGCGAUUGAAUGAGCCGAUGUCGGAUUAGCUAGUUGGCGGGGUAAAGGCCCACCAAGGCGACGAUCCGUAGCUGGUCUGAGAGGAUGAUCAGCCACACUGGAACUGAGACACGGUCCAGACUCCUACGGGAGGCAGCAGCC